rnacentral:rRNA from 1 species
AGUGAACGCUGGCGGUAGGCCUAACACAUGCAAGUCGAACGGCAGCACAGUAAGAGCUUGCUCUUACGGGUGGCGAGUGGCGUACGGGUGAGGAAUACAUCGGAAUCUACUUUUUCGUGGGGGAUCACGUAGGGAAACUUACGCUAAUACCGCAUAUGACCUACGGGUGAAAGCAGGGGAUCUUCGGACCUUGCGCGAUUGAAUGAGCCGAUGUUGGAUUGGCUAGUUGGCGGGGUAAAGGCCCACCAAGGCGACGAUCCGUAACUGGUCUGAGAGGAUGCUAACCCGCACUGGAGCUGAGACACGGUCCAGACUCCUACGAGAGGCACCAGUGGGGAAUAUUGGACAGUGGGCGCAAGCCUGAUCCAGCCAUACCGCGUGGGUGACGGAGGCAUUCGGGUUGUAAAGCCCUUUUGUUGGGAGAGAAAAGCAGCAGGUUAAUACCCCGCUGUUCUGACGGUACUCAAAGAAUAAGCACCGGCUAACUUCGUG